CUCUCAUCGUUUUAAAACAAGAAAUGGACAGUGACGGGGGAUUUAACUGGACCUACUCAUCUGUAAUGGUUUUGAUCAAUACAUGGAGAAAUUCUGAAGACAAAUUUGAGAGCCCCGUUACCAAGAAGAGUGAGGCCUGGGAAAUUGUAGCUCUAAUGCUUCAAGAGAAAAAGUUAUACUGUGACAUGGGAGACAUGCGAUGCGAAGUGGAGUCUGCACAGGUACAAGGCCAUCAUUGAUGGACAUCAGAAGACUGGUCAGGGGAGAAGAAAGUGAGAGUUCUACUUCAUGGAGGAUGCAGUGACCCCCGCAGUCAUUAUAUCAUCUUUUCCCACACGCAACACGCAACACUCACACCAACCCCAACAUCACUACACACACAACAUACAGCACACAAUACUAAUUACACUGUCACUCAGCCCAGCACCUCCACAGAUACCCCACACACAGCAUGCUACAGUAGCACUGAAACCCGGUCACCCUCUCUCUCUAAUACAACACCUUAUAACCCUCAUACCAACACCACUCCCUACAAACAAUACGAAAAUAAUACCAGAAGAGAUGCUCGAGGGCGAAACUGGACAGUAUCAUUGCACUUCAAGAAACAAAACAAACACUUCAAGCACAGAGUGAGAGAAACUAUUUUCUUAAACAGUUUACCGCUGCUCUCCAGAAUUUCAAAGAACAGUAGCCUAAAUGUAUUUAUUUCUUUAUUGUUUAAUUGUCAACUAAUAACUCAUUCUCCUGAGAUUUUCCUUGAUUGUAUGUUUAACUGAAAUUGUUAAUACCCAAUUGUUUUGGAACAUGUUUUA